rnacentral:rRNA from 1 species
GACGAACGCUGGCGGCGCGCCUAACACAUGCAAGUCGAACGGAGUUGAGAGGAGCUUGCUUUUCUCAACUUAGUGGCGAACGGGUGAGUAACGCGUGAGUAACCUGCCCUGGAGUGGGGGACAACAGUUGGAAACGACUGCUAAUACCGCAUAAGCCCACGGUACCGCAUGGUACUGAGGGAAAAGGAUUUAUUCGCUUCAGGACGGACUCGCGUCCAAUUAGCUAGUUGGUGAGGUAACGGCCCACCAAGGCGACGAUUGGUAGCCGGACUGAGAGGUUGAACGGCCACAUUGGGACUGAGACACGGCCCAGACUCCUACGGGAGGCAGCAGUGGGGGAUAUUGCACAAUGGGGGAAACCCUGAUGCAGCGACGCCGCGUGGAGGAAGAAGGUUUUCGGAUUGUAAACUCCUGUCGUUAGGGACGAUAAUGACGGUACCUAACAAGAAAGCACCGGCUAACUACGUGCCAGCCGCCGCAGUAA